AACGAACGCUGGCGGCAGGCUUAACACAUGCAAGUCGAACGGUUGUAGCAAUACAGCAGUGGCGCACGGGUGAGUAACGCGUGGAUAUCUGCCUUUGGUUUGGAAUAACUCCGGGAAACUGGAGCUAAUACCGGAUGGUUCCUACGGGAUAAAGAUUUAUCGCCAAAAGAUGAGUCCGCGUACGAUUAGCUAGUUGGUGAGGUAAUGGCUCACCAAGGCGACGAUCGUUAGCUGGUCUGAGAGGACGAUCAGCCACACUGGGACUGAGACACGGCCCAGACUCCUACGGGAGGCAGCAGUGGGGAAUAUUGGACAAUGGGGGCAACCCUGAUCCAGCCAUGCCGCGUGAGUGAUGAAGGCCUUCGGGUUGUAAAGCUCUUUUGGUCGGGGACGGAUAAAUGACGGUACCCGCAGAAUAAGCCCCGGCUAACUUCGUGCCAGCAGCCGCGGUAAU
rnacentral:rRNA from 1 species